rnacentral:rRNA from 1 species
UGGGGAAUAUUGCACAAUGGGCGAAAGCCUGAUGCAGCUAUGCCGCGUGUAUGAAGAAGGCCUUAGGGUUGUAAAGUACUUUCAGCAGGGAGGAAAAAAAUAAAACUAAUAAUUUUAAUUCGUGACGUUACCUGCAGAAGAAGCACCGGCUAACUCCGUGCCAGCAGCCGCGGUAAUACGGAGGGUGCAAGCGUUAAUCAGAAUUACUGGGCGUAAAGAGCGCGUAGGUGGUUUUUUAAGUCAGAUGUGAAAGCCCUAGGCUCAACCUAGGAACUGCAUUUGAAACUGAAAAGCUAGAGUCUCGUAGAGGGAGGUAGAAUUCUAGGUGUAGCGGUGAAAUGCGUAGAUAUCUGGAGGAAUACCUGUGGCGAAAGCGGCCUCCUAAACGAAUACUGACACUGAGGUGCGAAAGCGUGGGGAGCAAACA